GCUGGUGUAGCUCAGCGGCAGAGCAGCUGAUUCGUAAUCAGCAGGCCGUCGGUUCGAAUCCGACCACCAGCUCCA
rnacentral:tRNA from 2 species